rnacentral:rRNA from 1 species
GACGAACCGUGCGAACGUUGUUCGGAUUCACUGGGCAUAAAGGGCGCGUAGGCGGGUCGUCACGUCCGGGGUGAAAGCCUCCCGCUUAACGGGAGAAGGGCUUCGGAUACGGGCGAUCUCGAGGAGGGUAGGGGCAUGUGGAACUUCCGGUGGAGCGGUGAAAUGCGUAGAUAUCGGAAGGAACGCCGGUGGCGAAAGCGACGUGCUGGACCCUUUCUGACGCUGAGGCGCGAAAGCCAGGGGAGCAAACGGG